ensembl:snRNA U6 U6 spliceosomal RNA
GUGUUCACUUAGCACAUAAACUAAAACUGGAAUACUAUAGAAAAGAUUAGCAUGGUCCCUGCACAAGGAUGACAUGCAAAUUCGUGAAGCAUUCCAUAUUUUU